rnacentral:rRNA from 1 species
GCGGUAAUACGAGGGGUGCAAGCGUUAAUCGGAAUUACUGGGCGUAAAGCGUACGCAGGCGGUUUGUUAAGCAAGAUGUGAAAGCCCCGGGCUCAACCUGGGAACAGCAUUUUGAACUGGCAAGCUAGAGUCUUGUAGAGGGGGGUAGAAUUUCAGGUGUAGCGGUGAAAUGCGUAGAGAUCUGAAGGAAUACCGGUGGCGAAGGCGGCCCCCUGGACAAAGACUGACGCUCAGGUACGAAAGCGUGGGGAGCAAACAGGAUUAGAUACCCUGGUAGUCCACGCCGUAAACGAUGUCUACUCGGAAUUUGGUGUCUUGAACACUGGGUUCUCAAGCUAACGCAUUAAGUAGACCGCCUGGGGAGUACGGCCGCAAGGUUAAAACUCAAAGGAAUUGACGG